GUGAGGAAUAUUGGACAAUGGGCGCAAGCCUGAUCCAGCCAUGCCGCGUGCAGGAAGACGCAUCUAUGGUGUGUAAGCUGCUUUUGUACGGGAAGAAACACUCCCUCGUGAGGGAGCUUGACGGUACCGUAAGAAUAAGGAUCGGCUAACUCCGUGCCAGCAGCCGCGGUAAAACGGAGGAUCCAAGCGUUAUCCGGAAUCAUUGGGUUUAAAGGGUCCGUAGGCGGUUUAAUAAGUCAGUGGUGAAAGCCCAUCGCUCAACGAUGGAACGGCCAUUGAUACUGUUAGACUUGAAUUACAAGGAAGUAACUAGAAUAUGUAGUGUAGCGGUGAAAUGCUUAGAUAUUACAUGGAAUACCAAUUGCGAAGGCAGGUUACUACUUGUGGAUUGACGCUGAUGGACGAAAGCGUGGGGAGCGAACAGGAUUAGAUACCCCUGUAGUCC
rnacentral:rRNA from 1 species